rnacentral:rRNA from 1 species
UGCUUGUCUCAAAGAUUAAGCCAUGCAUGUCUAAGUCCAAGCUGUGUUCACACGGCGAGACCGCGGACGGCUCAUUAAAUCAGUCGUGGUCCAAAUGGGCCAGUGCAAAUCCUACUUGGAUAACUGUGGUAAUUCCAGAGCUAAUACAUGCAACUGAUAUCCCGAAGGCGGUGUUGGGGCUUGCUUGCCUUGCGCUGCGCUGCUCUGACGGAUGCUUUUAUUAGACCAAGCCGCUGAGGACUUGAGGGUUCGCGCUCUCUUGUUUGACUCGUGUGAUGGUGACUCUGGAUAACCAAAUUCUGACAAGCGCACGUACUUCUCUUCUGAGCGAGACGGCGCUGCCACUUUCGAGUGUCUGCCUUAUCAGCUAUCAACCGUUCGUUAUGCGCGACCGAUGGCUUUGACGGGUAACGGGGAAUCAGGGUUCGAUUCCGGAGAGGCAGCCUGAGAGACGGCUACCACGUCCAAGGACGGCAGCAGGCACGCAAAUUACCCAAUCCCAGCAAAUGGGGGAGGUAGUGACGAAAUCUAACGAUGCGGGCGCCCUUUCUGGGGCCCCGCAAUCGGAAUGGGCACUUUCUAAACAACCUGUUGAGAACCUACUGAAGGGCAAGUCUGGUGC